CCUGGUUUUUCUAACUACUGUAGAGAAGUGAUUUGGGGUAAAUACAAGGAGCGAUUAAGCAAAUUCAGAGAUCCCAGGGGCCCAAAACCCUAACUACUCCAUUUAGAAUACUGCACAAGAACAAGGACAAGAACAUAACCAGUAGAUUUCUGCUACGAGGAUUGUAUGUGCCAUACAUAUAUAUAUAUAUACGUAGGAGCCAAGUUCACGAGAUUCGUGGAGGGGCAAGGAGGUUACAAUGCAGACUCUCCGAAGAAAGUUGCUUCAGAGGAUACCAUUUAAUCGAGUAGCUAGACGUUGUCUGUACUCGACCAAGAAUGUCCCUGACGUAGGGCAGCCUACUCCUGCUUCUCACCCUCAGUUUCUCAAGGAAGGGGAAAUCACACCUGGCAUAACUAGUGAAGAAUAUAUCUUGAGAAGGAAGAGAUUACUGGAGAUUCUACCGGAUAAGAGUUUGGCUAUAGUUGCAGCUGCCCCUGUAAAGAUGAUGACCGAUGUUGUGCCUUACACAUAUCGACCGGAUGCUGAUUAUUUAUACAUUACUGGCUGCCAACAGCCUGGUGGUGUAGCAGUCUUAGGUCAUGAAUUUGGUUUAUGCAUGUUUAUGCCGGAAACAAGACCUCAUGAUGUUAUUUGGCAAGGACAAAUUGCUGGAGUUGAUGCAGCUUUAGACACAUUCAAGGCUGAACAAUCAUAUCCAAUGAACAAAUUACAUGAGAUCCUUCCAGAUAUGAUAAGAAGUUCCUCCAAAUUGUUUCAUAAUAAGCAAACAGCCUUGCCUACUUAUAUGGACUUAGAGGCCUUCCAAAAAGCUGCUUCCAUUGGCAUAGUGAAAGAUCUCUCUGUUUACACCCAUGAAGCCCGAUUGAUAAAAUCACCGGCCGAGCUUGGGUUAAUGAGAGAUUCUGCAUCAAUAGCUUGCCAGGCUCUUUUACAAACAAUGUUGCAUUCCAAGACAUUUCCUUGUGAGGCUAGGCUGUCAGCUAAAGUUGAAUAUGAAUGUAAAAUGAGAGGUGCCCAAAGAAUGGCAUUCAAUCCUGUGGUUGGUGGUGGGCCUAAUGGUAGUGUUAUACAUUAUUCUCGAAAUGACCAGAAAGUCCAAGACGGGGACCUUGUUUUGAUGGACAUUGGAUGUGAAUUGCAUGGUUAUGUUAGUGACCUCACUCGUACAUGGCCGCCAUGUGGAAGGUUUUCUCCUGUUCAUGAAGAACUUUAUGAUCUUAUUCUAGAGACAAACAAGGAAUGUCUGGACCUUUGCAAGCCUGGCACGAGCAUUCGGCAAAUUCACAACUAUUCGGCUGAUAAGAUGCGCAAAGGCUUGAAGGAGAUUGGAAUUUUGAAAGAUGAUCGACAUCAUAGUUACAAUCAGCUGAACCCAACUAAUAUAGGUCACUAUCUAGGAAUGGAUGUACAUGACUGUUCUACAAUCAGCUAUGACCGUCCUUUGAAGCCAGGUGUUGUGAUAACAAUUGAACCUGGUGUUUACAUUCCAGUUGGUUUUAGUUGUCCCGAUAGGUAUCAAGGCAUUGGGAUAAGGAUUGAGGAUGAAGUCCUUAUCACGGAAUCAGGUUACGAGGUUCUUACUGGUUCUUUACCGAAAGAAAUUAAACACAUCGAGUCUUUGGUUAACAACUACGGGCAUGCAAUGGGGAUAGAUACUCAUAAUGUUGUGAGAGUUGCAUCCAGUUAGCAAUGCACUCGGAAAUGUCAAGAUUCACAAUCAUAGUUGAUUUAUGAGAAAACUGCUUGCUAGGAAGGUGUUGCUUAAAUGAUGAAUAAUUUUCUGUUUGGUGAGUGAUUACUAGAUAUCUUCGUGCUUUUUUGGAAAAUCAAUCAUUGUCUGCCCACUUGUAUUAGCCUUUCUUAUAUUUUUGUCUUGUUGGAGCAGUGAUUUUAUGUUACUGUCGGAUAACUAUAUCAUAUUCAGUUCAUUUCACGUUACUUGUGUCGUGAUACGAUGCUUAACAAAGAUUUGCAAGCCAUAUGAAACUUUUUCUCAGG